rnacentral:tRNA from 1 species
GAUAAUGUAAUUUAGUGGUUAAAAUAGUCGAUUCAUACUCGAUUUUCCCCAGUUCGAAUCCGGGCGUUAUCA